AAUUAUACCGUGAAACUGCGAAUGGCUCAUUAAAUCAGUUAUCGUUUAUUUGAUAGUACCUUACUACUUGGAUAACCGUGGUAAUUCUAGAGCUAAUACAUGCUGAAAACCCCGACUUCGGAAGGGGUGUAUUUAUUAGAUAAAAAACCAAUGCCCUUCGGGGCUCCUUGGUGAUUCAUAAUAACUUCUCAGAUCGCAUGGCCUUGCGCCGGCGACGGUUCAUUCAAAUUUCUGCCCUAUCAACUUUCGAUGGUAAGGUAUUGGCUUACCAUGGUUUCAACGGGUAACGGGGAAUUAGGGUUCGAUUCCGGAGAGGGAGCCUGAGAAACGGCUACCACAUCCAAGGAAGGCAGCAGGCGCGCAAAUUACCCAAUCCCGACACGGGGAGGUAGUGACAAUAAAUACUGAUACAGGGCUCUUUUGGGUCUUGUAAUUGGAAUGAGUACAAUUUAAACCUCUUAACGAGGAACAAUUGGAGGGCAAGUCUGGUGCCAGCAGCCGCGGUAAUUCCAGCUCCAAUAGCGUAUAUUAAAGUUGUUGCAGUUAAAAAGCUCGUAGUUGAACCUUUGGCCUGGCUGGCAGGUCCGCCUCACCGCGUGCACUUGUCCGGCCGGGCCUUCUUUUCUGGAGAACCGCAUGCCCUUCACUGGGUGUGUUGGGGACCAGGACUUUUACUUUGAAAAAAUUAGAGUGUUCAAAGCAGGCCUUUGCUCGAAUACGUUAGCAUGGAAUAAUAGAAUAGGACGUGCGGUCCUAUUUUGUUGGUUUCUAGGACCGCCGUAAUGAUUAAUAGGGACAGUCGGGGGCAUCAGUAUUCAAUUGUCAGAGGUGAAAUUCUUGGAUUUAUUGAAGACUAACUACUGCGAAAGCAUUUGCCAAGGAUGUUUUCAUUAAUCAGUGAACGAAAGUUAGGGGAUCGAAGACGAUCAGAUACCGUCGUAGUCUUAACCAUAAACUAUGCCGACUAGGGAUCGGGCGGUGUUAUUAUUUUGACUCGCUCGGCACCUUACGAGAAAUCAAAGUGUUU
rnacentral:rRNA from 1 species